rnacentral:rRNA from 1 species
GAUGAACGCUAGCGGCAGGCUUAAUACGUGCAAGUCGAGGGGCAGCACGGUUAGCAAUAACUGGUGGCGACCGGCGCACGGGUGCGUAACACGUAUACAAUCUACCUUAAACAGGGGGAUAGCCUUUCGAAAGAGAGAUUAAUACCCCGUAAUAAAUUGAACGGCAUCGUUUGAUUUUGAAAGCUCCGGCGGUUUGAGAUGAGUAUGCGUCUGAUUAGCUAGUUGGUGAGGUAACGGCUCACCAAGGCGACGAUCAGUAGGGGAUCUGAGAGGACUAACCCCCACACUGGUACUGAGACACGGACCAGACUCCUACGGGAGGCAGCAGUAAGGAAUAUUGGUCAAUGGAGGCAACUCUGAACCAGCCAUGCCGCGUGCAGGAUGACGGCCCUAUGGGUUGUAAACUGCUUUUAUACGGGAAGAAAAAGCACUACGUGUAGUGUACUGACGGUACCGUUAGAAUAAGGAUCGGCUAACUUCGUGCCAGCAGCCGCGGUAAU